rnacentral:lncRNA from 1 species
GCUCCUUCCUCCUCUCUCUGCUUCCUGGCCACCAUGAUGUGCACAGCAUUCCUCUGCCCAGGCCCCUCCACCAUGCCAUUUCUGCACUUGAACUUGCCAACCAUGGACUGAAACUCCAGAAACAAUACCCGAAUGAAGACAUUAGAGGCCUCUCUUUGGAUUUGUUUUAUAAUAACAAAAUUUAUUUAGGGGAGGUUUCCUCUUACUCUGUGCUUGUUUUGAGCAACACAUUCACUAACAUUCUGGAAGAACAAAGGCUGAGCACAUUAUAAUCACAAAC